AUUGAACGCUGGCGGAAUGCUUUACACAUGCAAGUCGAACGGCAGCACGGACUUCGGUCUGGUGGCGUGUGGCGAACGGGUGAGUAAUGUAUCGGAACGUGCCCAGUCGUGGGGGAUAACGUAGUGAAAAUUACGCUAAUACCGCAUACGAUCUGUGGAUGAAAGCGGGGGAUCGCAAGACCUCGCGCGAUUGGAGCGGCCGAUAUCAGGUUAGGUAGUUGGUGGGGUAAAGGCCCACCAAGCCAACGAUCUGUAGCUGGUCUGAGAGGACGACCAGCCACACUGGAACUGAGACACGGUCCAGACUCCUACGGGAGGCAGCAGUGGGGAAUUUUGGACAAUGGGCGAAAGCCUGAUCCAGCCAUUCCGCGUGCAGGAUGAAGGCCCUCGGGUUGUAAACUGCUUUUGUACAGAACGAAAAGGUUUCUACUAAUACUAGGAGCUCAUGACGGUACUGUAAGAAUAAGCACCGGCUAACUACGUGCCAGCCGCCGCAGUAA
rnacentral:rRNA from 1 species